rnacentral:rRNA from 1 species
UACGGAGGGUGCAAGCGUUAUCCGGAUUCACUGGGUUUAAAGGGUGCGUAGGUGGGUUGGUAAGUCAGUGGUGAAAUCUCCAGGCUUAACUUGGAAACUGCCAUUGAUACUAUCAAUCUUGAAUACCGUGGAGGUCAGCGGAAUAUGUCAUGUAGCGGUGAAAUGCUUAGAUAUGACAUAGAACACCAAUUGCGAAGGCAGCUGGCUACG